rnacentral:lncRNA from 1 species
UCUACAGUGUGUAUAAUACUUGUGCAUGAUUAACAUAAGUGGACCAUUGACUGGUUUUAGACCUUGUGAUAUUUUUGUUUGAGCAUUUUCUUUGGAAGCACCCUUAACACACGUUAAGGAUAAAGAAUGUGUUUAGAUUAUCUCUUCUCACUCGUUUAAUGGACCCCAAAUUAAUGGAAGUAUCAUCUUUUCUUCCUUUUUCUUUUCUUUUUUUG